GACGAACGCUGGCGGCGUGCCUAAUACAUGCAAGUCGAACGCAGUGGGGACGGGUGCGUAACACGUGGGUAACCUCGCAUCAGAGGGGAUAACACGUGGAAACAGGUGCUAAACCGAUACUGAUUGAUGGACCCGCGGUGCAUUAGCUAGGUGGUGAGGUAACGGCUCACCAAGGCCACGAUGCAUAGGCGAUCUGAGAGGGUGAUCGGCCACACUGGUACUGAGACACGGCCCAGACUCCUACGGGAGGCAGCAGUAGGGAAUCUUGGGCAAUGGACGAAAGUCUGACCGAGCAAUGCCGCGUGAGUGAAGAAGGUUUUCGGAUCGUAAAACUCUGUUGGUAGAGAAGCGGUAUCUAACCAGAAAGCCACGGCUAACUCCGUGCCAGCAGCCGCGGUAAUUC
rnacentral:rRNA from 1 species